GAGAUUGAUAGCUUGCUAUCAAUCAAGUGAGUCGCGAACGGGUGAGUAACGCGUAGGUAACCUACCUUUAAGCGGGGGAUAACUAUUGGAAACGAUAGCUAAUACCGCAUAAAAUUGACAAACACAUGUUAGUCAAUUGAAAGAUACAACAGUAUCACUUAGAGAUGGACCUGCGUUGUAUUAGCUAGUAGGUGAGGUAACGGCUCACCUAGGCUGCGAUACAUAGCCGACCUGAGAGGGUGAUCGGCCACACUGGGACUGAGACACGGCCCAGACUCCUACGGGAGGCAGCAGUAGGGAAUCUUCGGCAAUGGGGGGAACCCUGACCGAGCAACGCCGCGUGAGUGAAGAAGGUKUUCGGAUCGUAAAGCUCUGUUGUAAGAGAAGAACGGGAGUAAGAGUGGAAAGUUUACUCUGUGACGGUAUCUUACCAGAAAGGGACGGCUAACUACGUGCCAGCAGCCGCGGUAAUACGUAGGUCCCGAGCGUUGUCCGGAUUUAUUGGGCGUAAAGGGAGCGCAGGCGGUUUUUUAAGUCUGAAGUUAAAGGCAGUGGCUCAACCAUUGUACGCUUUGGAAACUGGAGAACUUGAGUGCAGAAGGGGAGAGUGGAAUUCCAUGUGUAGCGGUGAAAUGCGUAGAUAUAUGGAGGAACACCAGUGGCGAAAGCGGCUCUCUGGUCUGUAACUGACGCUGAGGCUCGAAAGCGUGGGGAGCAAACAGGAUUAGAUACCCUGGUAGUCCACGCCGUAAACGAUGAGUGCUAGGUGUUAGGCCCUUUCCGGGGCUUAGUGCCGCAGCA
rnacentral:rRNA from 1 species